rnacentral:rRNA from 1 species
GUGCAGCAGGCGCGAAACUUUACAAUGUGCGAAAGCACGAUAAGGGAACUCUGAGUGCCUCCUAAGGAGGCUGUUCAGGUGUCUAAAAGCACCUGAAGGAAGGGCUGGGUAAGACCGGUGCCAGCCGCCGCGGUAACACCGGCAGCCCAAGUGGUAGCCACGUUUAUUGGGUCUAAAGCGUCCGUAGCCGGCUGGGUAAGUUCCUUGGGAAAUUUGGCUGCUUAACAGUCAAGCUUUCAGGGAAUACUGCCCGGCUUGGGACCGGGAGGGGUCAGAGGUACUCCAGGGGUAGGGGUGAAAUCCAUUAAUCCUUGGGGGACCACCGGUAGCGAAGGCGUCUGACCAGACCGGGUCCGACGGUGAGGGACG